rnacentral:misc_RNA from 1 species
GGACUCUUUUAUUGGGCCUGGAGACAGGCUCCUCAACAGAAUUCAAGCCUCCAGCAAGAUUCAAGCGAAGUCCAUCGUCUUCAUCCACAGCGGCCUUUUUCAAAGGCAAAUGAUUUCCAGAAGCUUCAGUCUUCUUCUUCGGCUCCAAGGUUGCAGAGCCCAAUUGCAAAGCGUUGGUGUCAGCAUCUGAGGGUUUAGCGACAAACCUGAUGCUAUCCCAGUUCCAUGCCUUGGGAUUCCAGUUGUCUCUAGGGUUUGGAACAAAACGAUGCUGCUGCUGGAGCUGAAAAUUGGGUGUUUGAUAAGAAAGAUCACGCUUUUUGGCCAUGGAAGUCGCGUCACAAAAUCGGCUAGAAAGCGCUUGAUGGAUGAAUAUUGGAGGAGCAACUUGCGCACCUAACUCCUCCAUAUCUCCGAAAAAGCCUUAGCCCCAAAACCCAAAAUACCUUCACAGAAUUUUCAUCUCACAAACCGCAAAAUAGACCACAACUG